CUUGCUCCUUUGACGUUAGCGGCGGACGGGUGAGUAACACGUGGGUAACCUACCUAUAAGACUGGAAUAACUCCGGGAAACCGGGGCUAAUGCCGGAUAACAUUUAGAACCGCAUGGUUCUAAAGUGAAAGAUGGUUUUGCUAUCACUUAUAGAUGGACCCGCGCCGUAUUAGCUAGUUGGUAAGGUAAUGGCUUACCAAGGCAACGAUACGUAGCCGACCUGAGAGGGUGAUCGGCCACACUGGAACUGAGACACGGUCCAGACUCCUACGGGAGGCAGCAGUAGGGAAUCUUCCGCAAUGGGCGAAAGCCUGACGGAGCAACGCCGCGUGAGUGAUGAAGGGUUUCGGCUCGUAAAACUCUGUUAUUAGGGAAGAACAAACGUGUAAGUAACUGUGCACGUCUUGACGGUACCUAAUCAGAAAGCCACGGCUAACUACGUGCCAGCAGCCGCGGUAAUACGUAGGUGGCAAGCGUUAUCCGGAAUUAUUGGGCGUAAAGCGCGCGUAGGCGGUUUCUUAAGUCUGAUGUGAAAGCCCACGGCUCAACCGUGGAGGGUCAUUGGAAACUGGGAGACUUGAGUGCAGAAGAGGAAAGUGGAAUUCCAUGUGUAGCGGUGAAAUGCGCAGAGAUAUGGAGGAACACCAGUGGCGAAAGGCGACUUUCUGGUCUGUAACUGACGCUGAUGUGCGAAAGCGUGGGGAUCAAACAGGAUUAGAUACCCUGGUAGUCCACGCCGUAAACGAUGAGUGCUAAG
rnacentral:rRNA from 1 species